UACGGGGGGGGCAAGCGUUGUUCGGAAUUACUGGGCGUAAAGCGCACGUAGGCGGCUUUGUAAGUUAGAGGUGAAAGCCCGGGGCUCAACCCCGGAAUUGCCUUUAAGACUGCAUCGCUAGAAUUGUGGAGAGGUAAGUGGAAUUCCGAGUGUAGAGGUGAAAUUCGUAGAUAUUCGGAAGAACACCAGUGGCGAAGGCGACUUACUGGACACAUAUUGACGCUGAGGUGCGAAAGCGUGGGGAGCAAACAGG
rnacentral:rRNA from 1 species